rnacentral:rRNA from 1 species
UAGGUUAACGAGGCGAACCGGGGGAACUGAAACAUCUAAGUACCCCGAGGAAAAGAAAUCAACCGAGAUUCCCCCAGUAGCGGCGAGCGAACGGGGAGCAGCCCAGAGUCUGAAUCAGCUUGUGUGUUAGUGGAACGGUCUGGAAAGUCCGACGGUACAGGGUGAUAGUCCCGUACACCAAAAUGCACAGGUUGUGAACUCGAAGAGUAGGGCGGGACACGUGGUAUCCUGUCUGAAUAUGGGGGGACCAUCCUCCAAGGCUAAAUACUCCUGACUGACCGAUAGUGAACCAGUACCGUGAGGGAAAGGCGAAAAGAACCCCGGCGAGGGGAGUGAAAAAGAACCUGAAACCGU